AUUCACAAACUGUGAGAUCAUGACCUGAGCCAAAGUGGGACGCUCAACAGACUGAGCCCCCCAGGCACCCCUAAAGCUGCUUAGUAAAGCACCAAGCUCAGUCUUGAUUUGUGCUCAAGACGGCAGCAAAUAAAACACGAGCUCCGCUGGACAGCAGAAGACAAAUUCUUGUUUCCAUUUUAUAGAUGAAACAAACGAGGCCUAAUUCCUCAUAAGAAUGGCUACCAUCACAUCUGAGGGCUCCCCUAGCAUCGGCCACUUUGUUAGUGCUUCAGGCGAAGUAUCUUCUUGGAAACAGUAUGUGGUAGGACAGUGAGGAAACGGAGACACAGACGUUUCCAGUCUCUUACUCAAGAUCUCCAGCUUACCAGUGGCAGAGGCCAGGCCAUCGGACACCAGGGCUCAUGUCCUCAAUGUCUGAGCCACACAGCCUCCCUCAGGCCCAGAGGGUGCUGUGGUCUGCCAAGAUCCUGUGGGACUCCCUGCCCGACACCCCACCCGGGGACUUACCUGGGGCCAUCUCACUGCCAAAGAUGAGGACUCUGGCCUGCGACAUGGUCAGGCAGUGGCGCAGGGCAUCACGCCGCAGGUUGGUGUUGAUGAGGGCUGCCUCCACGCCCAGCUUGGCCAUGCCCAGCCACAGGCCCACAAACUCAUUGCGGUUCUCCAUGAAGAGGGCAGCCACGUCUCCCGAGGCCAGGCCCUGAGCCUGUAGGAAGUUGGCCACGCUGCUUGAGUACUCGUCCAGCUGGCGGAAGGUCCAGUGGUCGUCUGUGCCCUCAAAGAUCAAGGCUAUCUUGUCAGGGUGGCGCUGUACCGUGGAGGCAAACAAAAUGGGCACUGUCCGCCGCUCCCGCAGGUACCGCCGGACCUUUGCCUUCACCUUCAGGAGCACCAUGCCGCCGCUAGGUGGGAGACUCCGGGCCCCAUGUCCAGGUUCCAACUCAUCUGGGACCCCCCACAGCCCUGUACUGGACCUCUCCAGACCGCUGGCAGAGUAAAUAAAGGACAUAUUUGUGAUU